rnacentral:rRNA from 1 species
UACAGAGGUCUUAAGCGUUGUUCGGAUUCAUUGGGCGUAAAGGGUGCGUAGGUGGCGCGGUAAGUCGGGUGUGAAAUUUCGGAGCUUAACUCCGAAACUGCAUUCGAUACUGCCGUGCUUGAGGACUGGAGAGGAGACUGGAAUUUACGGUGUAGCAGUGAAAUGCGUAGAUAUCGUAAGGAAGACCAGUGGCGAAGGCGGAUCUCUGGACAGUUCCUGACGCUGAGGCGCGAAGGCCAGGGGAGCAAACGGG